UACGUAGGGAGCAAGCGUCGUUCGGAUUUACUGGGCGUAAAGGGCGCGUAGGCGGCAUAUUAAGUCAUCUGUGGAAUCUCCGAGCUUAACUCGGAACUGUCAGCUGAUACUGAUGUGCUAGAGUGCGGAAGGGGCAAUCGGAAUUCUUGGUGUAGCGGUGAAAUGCGUAGAUAUCAAGAGGAACACCUGAGGUGAAGACGGGUUGCUGGGCCGACACUGACGCUGAGUGCGCGAAAGCCAGGGGAGCAAACGGG
rnacentral:rRNA from 1 species